rnacentral:rRNA from 1 species
CAGCAGUAGCCGCGGUAAUCCGAAGGGGGCUAGCGUUGUUCGGAUUUACUGGGCGUAAAGCGCACGUAGGCGGAUCGAUCAGCCAGGGGUGAAAUCCCAGAGCUCAACUCUGGAACUGCCUUUGAUACUGUCGAUCUGGAGUAUGGAAGAGGUGAGUGGAAUUCCGAGUGUAGAGGUGAAAUUCGUAGAUAUUCGGAGGAACACCAGUGGCGAAGGCGGCUCACUGGUCCAUUACUGACGCUGAGGUGCGAAAGCGUGGGGAGCAAACAGGAUUAGAUACCCGCGUAGUUCCUGUCUCUUAUAC